ACAACCGUUACUAGGAUAAUAUGUAUUUUUUACAAUAACUAUUGCUUGUGGUUUGUAGUCAGUUGUUGUCAAAUAGUGACAUGAAAAAUUACGGGUACAUAAUUAAGAAUAUAAACGAUUAGUAGUCAAUUUUGAGCAUCAUCAUGAAGAUUAUAGAUAAUGGAGAAAAGAAAGAGAACUGCUACGGUUUAGGAUCAGACAAGCUUUUGUUGCAGCACAAACCGGAAGCCAAAGAUAUUCUUCAGGAUGCGGAUCAAUGCGUUGGUGAUUGCUGCAAAAAUUCUAUCAUCCUUCAGAAACUUUAACGUUCAAUUCUAAUCAUGUCGCCUUUCAUAUCUCUGUUUAUAUCACUACUUCAGAAUUUAUCAUACUAUUAGUGAAAUGAUCUUUUAAUCAAUUAUUUAGGAUUUUAUCAUUUGAAAAAUUAUUUGCGAAUUGAGAAAUUUUAGUUAAAUCUUGCGGAUUAAUCUAUUAAACUAGGAGUGCUGUAAUAAUGUUCAUAAAAAUUGAUCUUCAAAAAUAUGUCAUUUGAAUCAAUAUACAUUUCAUCAUCCAUAAA